CUUGUACUCCCUCCGUCCGGAAAUACUUGUCCUAAAAAUGUACAAAAUUGAUGUAUCUAUAACUAAAAUAAGUCUAGAUACAUCUAUUUUUAGGACAAGUAUUUCCAGACGGAGGGAGUAUUAU
rfam:Hordeum vulgare subsp. vulgare, WGS project CAJW01000000 data, contig: morex_contig_45084